UACGUAGGGUGCGAGCGUUGUCCGGAAUUAUUGGGCGUAAAGAGCUUGUAGGCGGUUUGUCGCGUCUGCAGUGAAAAUCCGGGGCUCAACCCCGGACUUGCUGUGGGUACGGGCAGACUAGAGUGUGGUAGGGGAGACCGGAAUUCCUGGUGUAGCGGUGGAAUGCGCAGAUAUCAGGAGGAACACCGAUGGCGAAGGCAGGUCUCUGGGCCACAACUGACGCUGAGAAGCGAAAGCAUGGGGAGCGAACAGGAUUAGAUACCCUGGUAGUCCAUGCCGUAAACGUUGGGCGCUAGGUGUGGGGCUCAUUCCACGAGCUCCGUGCCGCAGCUAACGCAUUAAGCGCCCCGCCUGGGGAGUACGGCCGCAAGGCUAAA
rnacentral:rRNA from 1 species